GAUCAGUGAAGAACCUAUCCCAGACCUGAUUGAUUGCUUGAUGAUAGACACAUGUGAAUCUGACUUCCGAGUU
rnacentral:snoRNA from 1 species